AAGAAAACUCAUUCUCUUUUCUACUGUCAGGUUCAUGUAAUUACCCCCGGAAGGCUGGAAAAACAUAGGUUCUACUGAACUGGAAUAGUUCAAGUAAAUUUGUCUUUGGUUUAAUGGUGUCUAGUUUUCUUAUUAUGUCAGUUCUUUAUGAAUAAAUGACGUCUUUCAUUAGUGUGCAUUGCUCUUUUUGACUGCUUAAAAAUGUUAUACCUGGCUCGACUAGGUACUUGGCAAGACUCUAAUCUCA
rnacentral:misc_RNA from 1 species